CGUGAUGGUUUUGACCGGGGCUUCGCAGCCGUCCCAGCGACCCCUAUGUCCCUUUCCUCUUUCCCCACUGAUGCCUCAAUGUCAAUGGCUCAAUCCCAUCCCCAUGGCGGCCCUCCCAGCGCCCCGUCCUGCUGAUGAGCUCCUCCCCUCCAAGCCGUGGUCGUCUAGGACCAGGAAGAGCAACGACGCCUCAUCACCGUCAUUCCCCUACUUAACCGCGGGUUCACCAUCCUAGAUCCGCCCCUGCUGUUCACGGGCGAGCCCCCACGCCGGGGCUAGAGGAGCUGAUGAAGAAGCUGCAAUUUGAGGCGAGGAAGCUGCAAUUUGCCCCUUCCCUUCUUCCUCCCGAUCUCACUCCCUUUGAUUGAUUCGAACAUUGCCAUCCUGAAUAUGGAAGCAAUAAUACUGGUCGUCUAUCUCACAAAGGUAUCUCACCAUUUUCAAUUGUUUCAUCUCUCAAGUCGUGAACUACAAAUGGUGAUUAAAAUUUAGCAGCUGGUUUGCCCCAUUGAUGUGUUUAUUGUUGCCUCCUCCCGAUCUGGAUGGGAUGCGUGAGUUUGAUCUACCCAUGCAUGCACACCUCCAGAUUGAUUUAUGCGCUUUCUCCUAGAUCUGCUACUAAAACUUGAUUUUAGCAUCCAUCUAAUCCCUGGUCUAGAUCCAAUUGAUUAGGUGAGUGCAUGAUAAAGAAGCAGCGUUUUUCCCACACAGCAUCUAGAUCCAUUUUCGCUGCGCGUCUCCAUGGCUGCGGUCAGCAUUUUUCUGCAGUUUUGGCCGCCAUCAAGCGUUGUCUUCUCCAUGGGCUGACACGAUCUGGUAAAGGUUUUAUUUUGGAGCCACCAAUAGUUGAUGAUCUCGCGGCCGUCAAACGGCACGGGAUAUGCCUUUACCAGUGGCACACAUUACACAUCUUGGACAAAGAGCGUCGGGAGACCCUGAUGCUACACACCGUUGUUUCAAUCAUCGAUGAUCUUAUGUCUUUGUGCCAGCGGUAAUUAUCUAUCCUUUUUUUGGUAAAGCUUUUUAAAUUAUCUGUUUGAACAUUUGAAAUGUUCAUAUUCAAAGCAAAACAUUUGCAAUGUUAUCAUUAUAUUUAAAAGAAAAUAGCCACUGAAUUUGGUUGCAACCAGAAACUAGCCUCAAUUAUUUACAGUCUGGAGCACUCAUGCAGAAACAUAAUCUUCAUUUUUUGAUGGAACGGAGGAACGGUGGAGUGUUUCUGGGAACAGGCUACAUAUACAUUAUUUUUCGGUUUUGUCACUUUUCCCAUGCUAUUUUUGAUAGUUUAGUCUGUGCGGCAGAGAUGUUACCUUCCAACCUAAUCUAUUAAAUCACACAAAUAGUAUGUGACUAGACAUGUAAAUGAAUGCACCUUAGUCGGGUGGAAAACUGGCCAAUUAUACCACACUAUUUAAUUUGUGGCACAUUCAUUCGAUGCAUCUUGCCAAUUAGUAUUGGCAGCCAAACAUAGACGCCACCGAAACGUUGACCGCAUAAAAUCACAUAGGUUUUCCCCUAUAAAAAGCACUUGAGAAUAGAAUUAUAAGAAUAAAAAAGUUGUGACAAUUGUAGCUUCAGUUAGAAUUUAGAUCGUUUCAGAUGACCAUUCUGUACAAUCAGAUGCAACUUGAAAAAAUGGAAUAGAAAUAUCACAUCAGAGAGAUUAGAAUGAACAUGUUAUCAUGUAUGAAGAGAUCAGACUAGAAUUCUAAGAAUAAAAAAACUGUGACCAAACCGUUCGUAUUCGGUUCUGACUUCGUUUAAUAUUUACUAUAUCUUUAGUUACAAUUGUAUGCUGCCGAAAAAUAGUGUAUCAUAUGUCAGAAAAAAGCAAUUAUAAUAAAAAAAGAUUGGUACCCUUGGUAUUUUGAUCUUUUAUGAGUGAUUACACUUUAAUCUUUUCAAAAGCAGUUUUUUGUUUUACGCAUUAAAACGCCCUUGUGAGGAUGGUGCUUUAUGGUUUCCUAAAAACACACUCAACCAUAAGACAAAAUCUUUAUUAGGCAACUGCAUUUGGAUAAUAAUACAUAUUAGGCACCAUAUUAUCAAAAGAGAUGCAAAAUGGAAAUGCAAGGUGCUUUAUGUAAUUAUUAAGGCAAAUAAAACUAGAACAAAGAACAAGUAAUAUCUACUCACUCGGUCGCUAAUACUGCAAGUAUCAGUUACAAUAGAAGCGUAUUCGUGGGUUAAGAUCGAGAUUUACUGUCAAUAUUCCGUAGCAGAUGUUCUUCUUGAUGCAAUCAUUCCUUUAUAGUAAUCAUCCAAAUAGCACAAGACUGCAGGGUCAGAGAGUGGUAAAGCUAACUCCUUAACGUUUCAUAACUGAACUACCACUGCAAUUUGUGACGAGCGAUUCAUAAGCACUAAACAUGUAGGACUUCCAGCUGGUCUAUGUGCCUCGACGGAUGAUCUUGCAGACGGCCAGUAAUGCUUUACAGCUUAAGAUCAAUUCCAUUGUCACCACAAUACGAGAACAACACUAACUUAACAGCUGCAUCAACAUGAUUCUGUCCGGUGUGCCCAGCGCGUUACUUAUAGAGCAGAUAUUCAUCCAGCCUUAAGACAGAUUAUGUUGUGCCAUAACCUUAUGCACCUAUCUUUUUUUUUACUCACCAACAAUGGACAUAUUGAUUUUUUUUCGUUUGUUUUUCACAAAAUUGUAAAUGCAUUCAUCUAAUUUAGGCUCAAUAUAGGUAACCUGUUAUGUUUUGUACUCAGUCUUAGAGGUUCAGACUGCACGGAUGUGAGUGUAAUAGUGUAAAUAACUAAAUAUCAAUCUAUUUGUUUGUUUGAUUGAACCAAAAUGUUGUUAUAUAUGUAUGUGGUUGGUGCUACCACAGGUGAGAGAAAAUGUGGCUACUUGCUUGAGGCUGAGGUACCCAAAGUACACAUCUACUACUGUUAUACAAAGUAUACAAGAGCUAGCGGUUUGUGAGAGAUGAUUCUAAGAAUAAGAGCAGCAAGACAAGGAGCCCAAUGUGCAAUCAAGACCUGGCGAAGAUGUGGCGUUGAGGCUCAGGAUGGUUGAUCCAAUUCCCAAGACUGUUACUUACGUGUGAAAUUCUGUUUGAAUGUGUUUUUCCCCUUUUAGCAAGAUAUUAC